ACUCACUCGGCUCGACCACGGGAAGGGAAGGAGCGCGAACGCUAAAUCCCGUGCCGCGGGGAGCCAAGCCCCCUGGGCCGGAAAUGCCUAAUCUGAACUUCCGCCCUGCCCUUCAGCUCACCAACCAAUUGAAUUCCAGGUUUCGUGGGUCCGCUCUAGGCGGCUGAUAGUACUCAAUGCUCCGGCAGUCCUGCUCCUUCCCGGUUACGUCCCUUCCAGCCCUUGGCGGAGUCUGCGGGCGAGAGGGCGCAGGUGCAGAGGUGCCGCCGGCGGCGUGCGGCUGCGAAGGAAGGGACCCCGACACCGAGCGUUCCUGCGGACGCUCCUCAACCGGGGGUUGUUCUCCGUGCUCUGGACCCGGCCCUUCCUCACCUAGGACGUCUCGCGGUGCACUGUCCCCCUCUCUCGGGCGACUUUUCCCCCACCUCCAAGUAGUGAUCAAGCUCAGAAUCCAGCUCGCGCCCGCUGUGCACCUAGCACUUCCCACCUGUAGUCUUUUGACCUCAUCGCCCCCUCUAGAAGGCUGCUGCCAUCGCUUAAAUGAGGAAGCCGAGGUGCAGAGAGGUUUCAGACCUAUUGCGGUGGAGCUGGAGUUCGAGAACCAACCACUCGGUGCUGAGACGCGCUUGCGGAACGGGCGGCGGGCGGGGGUGAAGCGGAGUGAGGGGAGAGGCCAGGUGCGACCCGGGCAGGUGAGGAGCACGGGCCCGGAGGGAGGACUUACGAGAAUGGAAAGGAAAGCAGCCCGUCUUCAGUGGGACAGUGGGAGCAUUAAGAUGUCAGAGAAUGAGCAGUUGUGGGAAGAGCCAUAGGGUAUUUUAUUUUUUAGAGAUGGGGUUUUGCUCUGUCGCCCAGGCUGCAACCUCGACCUCCCGGGCUCAAGCGAUCCUCCUGCCUCAGCCUCCCGAGUAACUGGGACUACAAGCAACGCGCCACCACACUAAAUCUUUAAUUUUUUGGGGGGUGGUUGAAGGUGGGGGCGGGACAGGGUCUCUCUCCGUCUCCCAGGCCAGAGUGCAGUGGCGCAAUUACGGCCCGACUCCUGGGCUCAAGCGAUCCUCCCACCUCAGCCUCCGGAGUAGCUGGGACCACAGGCGCCCACCACCACGCCCAGCUAGUUUUUGUAUUUUUUUGUAGAGGUGGUGUUUUGCCAUGUUUCCCAGGCUGGUCUUGAACUCCUGAGCGCAAGUGAUCCACCCGUCUCAGCCUUCCAAAGUGCUGGGAUUACAGGUGUCAGCCACCACGCCCGGCCCUAAAUAUUUUUUUAAAAGUUGGAUUUUUCAUGGUGCCCAAGGGAAGAGACACUCCUUUCCUUUUACUAAGACCAUUUCUUUUAGAAAACUUUGUAAUAGGAAAAUCUUUCUUUGCCCUCUUGAAAUGUAUGUAAAUUUUUUAAAAAGCUGCAUAAGCCUCUUGCCAGUUUUAUAAACCAGGAAUUUCUUUCUUAAGGACCUUUCUUAAGGACCUUGGAGUGAUUUCUUUGAAAUAAAAAGGCCAAGGAAGAUAGCUUCCCUCCUUGUCUCUGUGGGAGUUUAGCAGAUGGCUGGCUCCAAGUUGCAAUUACCUGCUUGUCAUAGAGACAUGAGGUUUAUUUUAACUUUGGAUAAAGGCAGUUAGCUAACACAGAUGGCCGCCCCAAGUACCACGUACCUGCCUUCUCGUUUAGAAACACUGUGGGCAUUAGGGGCAACUCAUGCAGAAGACCCAGGAAUCUUCCAGGUAUACUCCAUGGGAUGCCUGUUCCACUCUGGCCCAUUGGCACAAGCUAGCCUUUUCUUUUAAGGAUAGUGGGGUCCGUUCUGAGAGCGGCCUUUGCAACAUCUCACUUCCCCUGUUGACUGUUAUUUCUUUUCUUCCUGCUUUCCUACUCCCUUGAUCCCAAACUCACUAGGGGUAUUUAGUGAGCACUUACUGUUGCAGUAAGACUCUAGCCAAGGAAGACGAAGAGACAGUUGGAGACCAAAGAGAACUUCAAUUCGGGCACCCGAGCCUAGAGCAGGCUCAUGCCCAAAAUGGCUACCGACCCAGACAAAGAAAGCAGGCUUGCUUAUAUGUCGUUUCAGGCGUGAAAAACAAGGCAGGAUACAAGUUUCAGACAAAGACAGUAAAUUAUUCAACCUGUGACAAUUCUGAGAAAACUUACAUUUAGUUAUCUUGACCAGUCAACCUUGAAGCUGGACAGAGCUGGGGUAAGGGAAAACAGGAAUUACGGAAGUAUGAGGGAGUCGCGAGGCCGGAGAUAAGCUUGGAAGGUUGAGAUAAGCUCGCAGGUGCAACUUCUUAGCAAUGCUGAGAGUGGCUGCUUAAAUUUCUUAGCCUAUGUAUAACUUCUAAAUAGCCUACACUAAAUGGUAACUAUUACCUAUGUUGUGUUUGUUAUUUUAAACUUUAAUGUUAUUUAUUUUAUUUCAUUUUCCUUCCACAUUACCUCUGCUGUUAGCAGCUUUGAGAAAUGCUGCUAUAGGAUGUGGGAAGUCAUUAAAGGAUUUAAGCAGGGAGAGGCAAGAUCAGAUUAACAUUUCAGAAAAAUAUUUACUGUUUUCCAGCUGAAACUAGUAGAGUACAAUUUACUUUCUGGUCACAGCACACAGCAGUCACAUCCUGGAGGAACUGUACUUCUCUAAGAUCUAGUCUGUCCUGUGGUUUAAAUGACCUUUAGCAAAUUGUCUUUAUUACUUUGUACACUGCUUUCACCAGUCUGCUCUUCCAUGGCUAACGGGGCAGAACUGUUAUUUUUAGGGUUUUCCACAUCCAGUAUGUUCAUAAGAUUUCUACCCUGUGUGAACUUCCAGAUGUCGAAUAAAGGCUGGAUGCUGACCAAAGACCUUUCCACAUUUUUUACAUGUGUGUAGGGUUGCUCACCAGUAGUAUUCCCCUGAUGCUUCAUAAUGGUUGAUCCCAGAGAGAAUGCCCUUUCACACUCAUUACAUUCAUAGGGUUUCUGUCCAGUGUGAGUUCUGUGAUGGGAAAUUAGGUUAGAACUUUAAACAAAGGCCUUUCCACGUUUGUUACACUGAUAAGGCUUAUUUCCAAUGUGGAUUCUUUGGUGUUACACAAGAUUAGAGCUGUAGUUGAAGGUUUUCCCACACUCUGCCUUCAUAGAACUUGUCUUUAUAGUGAAAUCUCUGGUGUUUUCUAAAUUGUGUUAGUCCUUCUUAAGGCUUACCAUGUUCACUACACUACACAAUUCCUCUCCAUGGUAACUAUUUGGGUGCUCAUUAAAGGCUGUACUCUGAAAAAAAAAAAAAAA
rnacentral:lncRNA from 1 species